AUGAUAGUCCUUUCCUACUAAAAGUGAGAUAUACAUUUACAACCAAAAAAAAUUUCUUCCUAUUUGCCUUUAUUUGAUUAUUUCUUUUUUUUUUAUUCCAUGACAAGUUCAUAUCCUCUUCCAUCAUUAAUUUAUGAUCAAUUUUUUACAAUCUUAUUUUUUGUAUCUUUUUUUGUAAUUUGUAAAAUUUACAUUCUUUCAAACAAUACUUUAUAUUGUUUUCUUAUAUUUCAUUUAUGCAAGUCCAUAAUACUUCAUUGAUUUUCUCUAUUGAUUCAAAUUCUAAGAUUAUUCUAACCUCACAACAAUGAUUGAUACACAGUAUGUUCUAAAACCUAUGGACUUUGAUAAAUAUUUGUGCUGAUUACAAAUUUGUUCAUUUAAUAAUAGGGUUAAGAAGUUAAUUAAAGAAGAAUUGUUGAAAUAAUAAUCCUAAAAUAAAAAGUGAAAAAUAUUUUAUGUAAACUACUAGAGUUCAAACAUCAAACUGUCUUAUGUGUAUGGAAUUUUCCAAAAAAAAUGCUUUGAGCUGAAUAUUGUGAUGUUACUGAGAGAUGUUUGUAUAAAAACUGGAGUUUUUCAGCCUGAAGAGGGGAUGUUUUAAUCCUGAAAUAUAUAGUAAAUAAAAAUUUUUGUCAACUGAACUCCUGAUUAAAAUAGAUUUGGUUAUAAGACAAACUCAGAUUUACCAUUUGAUAGUCUCAAUUGGAACAUCUGUAGGUUUUUCUGAAUUUAUACGAUAUAAAGUCUGCCAUAGUAAUUUAGUUUCUAACGUUAUUUACAUAUAUGUUACAAAACAGUUUAAAGCUUGCCAAUAUUAAAACAAUCUUCCUUUCCUAAAGUCAUAGCAGUCUGUUUCCAUAACUAUUAAUUAUACUUAUAUACUAUUAACAUCUUAAUACUGUUAAUUAGGGAGAAUAAAUGUAUUGUUGCAAGACUUUUCUUAUUGUAAUUGAAAAUAAAUAAUGUAUAAAUGCAUGGAAGAAUACUGACAACACAUAUAAGAAAAUAACUGUUUUUAACAAAAUAUAA